rnacentral:misc_RNA from 1 species
AACCGCCGUAUGCGGACCCGCUGUACGGUGGUGUGAGAGGACGGGGGGUUAGCCGCCCUCUCCUACUCGAU